GCCAGGUAUGGUGGCACAUGCCUGUAGUCCCAACUACUUGAGAGGCUGAGGCUGCAGGAUCCCUUGAGCCCAGGAGCUCUGGGCUAUAGUGCACUAUGCUGGUCAGGAGUCUUUGCACUAAGUUUGGCAAUAUGGUGACCUCUCAGGAGAGGGAGGUCAGAAAUGGAGCAGGUCAAAAUUCCAGUGCUGGUCAGUAGUGGGACUGCACCUGUGAUUAGCCACUGCGCUCCAGCCUGGGCAACAGUGAGACCCUCUU
ensembl:misc_RNA Metazoa_SRP Metazoan signal recognition particle RNA